CGAUCCACCCGGUCAACACACAGAAACGGGUCGUUGCGAUAGAAAGAAGAAGGGGAUCCGGCACUGCACGAGAGGCGAGAGGUCGAUGCGGACGGUAGCUGCGAGAGAAAGAGGAGGGAUGGAUCGACCGGUCAUGGCGACGGUGCUCCCUAUAGGCUGGCCGACCUCCUUCUGUUCGCCGCCCCUCCGAACGGCAGCAUCAUCGAGCAUCCCCCAACUUCCGUUCGUCGUAAUCCUCCCAACGACAGUAGAGGUAUGAUCCAAUUCAUCCUCCACUGCUGCCUGUAAUCCAACAUCCAUUGUCAAGACGGCAGAUGAAUUUGUACCACAUCGAAUCUGCCUCAAACAAUUGUGAUUCACCAGCGACGCUGCACCAACGAAAGAACUAUGAAGGAUUGGUGGCAGAGUUGUUUACCUGCUCCACACGAUUCAAUUUUUUUGAGGGUCACCCCUGCGCCCACUUAACAGGUAAGUAACUCAGUAUGCUUUUAUAUCCUACCCUAGAUAAUCUUUACUCAUAUAAAUUCAGGACAGUCUAUAAUACUCUGCCCAGAAGGUUGAUGCUUGCCCAAAAAUUUUGUAAGGCAGAUUCGUGGCAUGUGCAUUGCAUGUCUAGGUAAAUUGGGAUGGACUAAUCUUGAUUUCUUCCAUCAAUUUUAUUACUAUAGUAGAAAAAUGGUCCUGGUGCACAUUGUGGACAACUGAUAUAGUUGAUCUUUGGUAACAUUUGCUUCUUUCAUAUUUUACAUACUCAUAUAAUUUUGUGAGAUAUGAGCCGGUAGAGAAAAUAGAACGAGAUAUUCUGGUCUUGCCUACAAAUGCUUCGUUAUUUGAGACCUCGAGCGAUGGCUCCCCACCCUAUACCGUGAUCUUGAGGGGCGUGUGGUGGUGUCCACCGCGACACGUCACUUUGCCCGAGGUGGCACCACUGAACCGGCUUCCCCGGCGGCGUUGACGGCCUCCCUUCGCACCUACAGUUUCCAUCUCUUGGAGGAGGCCGGCAUCCUCGGAUGCGGAUUGUGAUGCUUUUGCUCUGGAGAAUUUCAUUGAAGCUGGCAGCACCCUGAAACUUGUUACUUUUUGUGAAACUACAACAACCUUCCUUGCCUCUUGAAAUUCUUCUAAAGCGGCGCUGCCAAGAAACAAUGAUGAUUCUCCUCACCCACGGAACAUUAUCAUGAAGAUUAUAGCCAUGAAAAUUAAAGCAUAUGCUGAUCUCAUUCUUUUGCAUCUCUACAAUCCGGCACCUGUGUAUAGGUGUGAAACCAAUGCUUCAAGUAUAUGUGCUCAAUCAGUGGUUAUCUAGCUCUAUUUACCAAGGACAUUGUUGUGUAUGUUGUCAUAUCAAGACAAAUUUUUAUUUGUGAACUUUGCUUUUGCUAAAUAUGUAUAUGCGAUUUCCCUUGAUUACUGACUAAUGUAAGGUUAUGUUUGU